rnacentral:rRNA from 1 species
UAUUGGACAAUGGGCGAAAGCCUGAUCCAGCAAUGCCGCGUGAGUGAUGAAGGCCUUAGGGUUGUAAAGCUCUUUUACCCGGGAUGAUAAUGACAGUAUCGGGAGAAUAAGCUCCGGCUAACUCCGUGCCAGCAGCCGCGGUAAUACGGAGGGAGCUAGCGUUGUUCGGAAUUACUGGGCGUAAAGCGCACGUAGGCGGCUUUGUAAGUUAGAGGUGAAAGCCUGGAGCUCAACUCCAGAAUUGCCUUUGAUACUGCAUCGCUUGAAUCCAGGAGAGGUGAGUGGAAUUCCGAGUGUAGAGGUGAAAUUCGUAGAUAUUCGGAAGAACACCAGUGGCGAAGGCGGCUCACUGGACUGGUAUUGACGCUGAGGUGCGAAG